UUGGGCACUGUCUCAACGAGAGACUCGGUGAAAUUUUAGUACCUGUGAAGAUGCAGGUUACCCGCGACAGGACGGAAAGACCCCAUGGAGCUUUACUGUAGUUUGAUAUUGAGUGUCUGUACCGCAUGUACAGGAUAGGUAGGAGCCGUAGAGAUCGGGACGCCAGUUUCGAUGGAGGCAAUGGUGGGAUACUACCCUUGCGUUAUGGCCACUCUAACCCGCAGCCCUUAUCGGGCUGGGAGACAGUGUCAGAUGGGCAGUUUGACUGGGGCGGUCGCCUCCUAAAAGGUAACGGAGGCGCCCAAAGGUUCCCUCAGAAUGGUUGGAAAUCAUUCGAAGAGUGUAAAGGCAGAAGGGAGCUUGACUGCGAGAG
rnacentral:rRNA from 1 species